rnacentral:hammerhead_ribozyme from 1 species
AUCCAGCUGACGAGUCCCAAAUAGGACGAACCCCUCGUCCUGCAU